AAAAAGAAAUUUCUUCAAACAUUUUUUUGAGAGGAUUAAUAUUCAACAGCAUAGUGAAUUGCUCAAAGGCAAAAAAAAUAUUUUAAGUUCAUUAGACUACAUUCAUUCUGUGUCCGAAACCUAUGCUGUGUCAACUAUUUAAUCACAAUCCAAAUUUAGAGCUGAAUCCAGCUUGAAUGUUGUGUCCAUACUUGCCCCAACCGUUCAGGGUUCAACCUCUGCGGUCGUAUAAAGCUGCGCCCUGCGGAGCAUCUGGUU
rnacentral:lncRNA from 1 species